UAGCUGUAAAGCAUGCGGGCCAGGUGUCUGGUGUUCCUCGAGAGCACCAGGUGCCGGAGAGAAGUCGUUAAGCCCGCCGCCUGGGAAGUACGGUCGCAAGGCUGAAACUUAAGGAAAUUGGCGGGGGACACCACAAGGGGUGGGACCUGCGGUUC
rnacentral:rRNA from 1 species